UCUUCGACACCAAUCUCGUCGUGGCUUAAAUUUCGUACCAUACUUGGGAUGCCUCUUCCGAACGAGAUAAAAUUGGCUCGAUCCAGCUAGGGUUCCGUGAAUUGCCCAUGGAUGUUCGCCUUCUUGCUAUUUCGUGAUUCUUAAUGGUUCUGGAAACUUGUUUCGAAAGUUUUGGAUCGAUUUAGAAGGUAAUUCCGAGUGUUGGUGAUCGUAGAACCUGGUAUCAGAUGCUCGAUGCCGUAAAGUUGCCUGCUUUAUGGGGUGUGUGAUUCUGGGGUUAUGAAGAACAUACUCCUGUGCUCUUUGGCGGGGUCACAUUUACCUUUUUGUUGGGUUCAGGAUCUAUCCCACCGACUAAUAGGUUUCAAUGCAGUUGAAAUGACUGAAGAAGGCACAGCUACAUGCGGACGGUGCAAGGGAAGAAGCAAACCAUAGGACACCGAUGGACUGGAGAAAAGCAAAGGCAAGAAGGAUGUGAACGAAGAUGACCAUGUUUUAGAAGAGGGUGGAGAAGAAAAGAAGGAAGGUGAAGCAGAAGAGGAUGGCGAGGAAGAGAAGGCGAAACCAAAGAGGGAGGGGGAGGAAAAAAAGGAAGGUGAAAUAGAAGAUGAUGGAGAUAAAAAGAAGGAAGGGGAAGUAGAUGGGGAUGAAAUAAAGGGAAGGCGGAGAUGGGGAGAAGGAAGGUGAAGAAGUAGAAGAUGGAGACGAAAUGAAGAAAGGUGAAGUAAAAGAAAAUGGAGACAAAAAGAAGAAAGAUAAAGAAGUGAUCGAUGGUGAAGGAAAUGAGGAUGGAUGGCCGACAACACACGACAGAUUUGGAAUGUGUGGGCGGAGAAAAAGAGGCCACCGAGAAAGUAAAUACAGUAGAAAAUGCUGGAUGUAGAUGACGUCAAAGAUGAAGAAAAAGGUUGGUUGUGUCACGUGAUUGCUUUCGUCAUCGACUUGAGAUGUGAUAGCGCCAUAACACCGGUUGGAGACUCGUCCGUCUCCUUUGCCUUAUCGAGAAUAUAAAUUUCUUUUCUUGAAAAUAUCAUAAAAUAAUAUAAUUAUUUUAAGAAUUGAAUUGCGUAAUUAUUUAUCCAAUUCCAACAGCUUAAUCUAUCAGAAAAAAACUAAUAUAUACAAUUAAUGAUCAGUAUAAUGAUUGAGUGGUACCGGCUUUAGUAUACAAUUAAUGAUCAGUCACUGUAUCGAUGACUCGUCGACUGGCUAUAUAGAGGGAGCCUUUGGUUAUCCGCUUCUCAACCAGCUUGGGGUCUUAACUUUCGAGAGACGGCAGAGAUCGCCACGGUAAUUAUCACGGUGGACCUGCACUGCUGCACCUGCUCCAAGAAGAUCAAGAAAACUCUGUGCAAGCUCCAAAACCGGUUCAACAUCGAAUCAAUUGUCUACGACGAGAAGAAGAACACCAUCACAGUAUCCGGCCCCUUCAACCCUGACUGCUUCAUCAAGAAGCUUCGCUGCCUCGCCUGCAAGGUGAUCAUAUGUGUCCAGAUCAAGCCGAAGCCGAAACCCGACAAACCACCGCCACCGCCGCCGCCGCCGCCUAAGGUGGAGGUGGAGGUGAAUUUAGACGUGUGUGUUUUCCCGCCUCCGGGGUAGCCCAACUGCUGUGCCUGCCGUCCCUGUCGCGAGUUUGACGGCUGCAGGAUCAUCGUCGAGCAGGAGCCUUGUCAGUCCUGCUCUAUUAUGUAGUUUCCUAUACGUAUUCUUAUUCUCGUUGCAAGAUGUUAUUGGGUAAGAGAUAACGGAUAAGAAGGCAGACAGAGGUCAACGUCAUGUGACUUCCUCUGUCAGCAAUGUACGUAUGUGAUGAUAUAUAUGUUUAUGCUGUUAUAUCUCAGUCGUCGCAA